rnacentral:lncRNA from 1 species
UAAAAGUGUCAAAAAGUGCAUAAGUUUGCACUUUCGCGCAUAACUCACGUUCUGAAUACAUCCGGACAUCCAAAAAUUUAUGUAAGCAUCCUAAUAUUAUGCCUUAGUGUUUGGCAUGAGAAAAAUCCAUUCGUCGCGUCAUUUGGAUCGUCUUUCACGCUUAUGCGCAUUCCGUCGUAAUUAAGCGAACAUCGCGAUCGUACGGCCAAACGAACCGACAUCCGACAUAUUUUUGGGCAUGUUUCAUGUCCACAAUGUUUAGGCAUCAUUUUAGGGCCUUAAAGAUGACUUUACAGGUCUUAGAAGGGCUGGAAAUAGCUUAAACACGCAACAGGGACCAAAAGUGUAAAUUCUGCAAGUGGUGCAGAUCAGAGGGGCCAGGCGGCCCGCGUAAAGAUUGCCCAAAACAUGAGGCGGGCCGCGUGAACAUGUCUGACAGAAGAUUUUGCAUUUAAUGCAGAAUCUGGCCUUUCGUUCGAUCAAGGGGCGAUGCCUUUUCACCCAACGAAGAGCCAAGGGUCAAGUUCACUGAACUUAUCCACUUGGACACAUGUACGCACGAGAUCAAGGCACGAUAUUCGAUAAAACGAUCCUAACGGUUCCACUUUUCCUAUAAAUACCCCCCCCCCCUUUAGUGUAAAAUUCACAAAAUCAGAUCUUAGAGCUCUAAGUUGAAACCAUUGUUUCAUACUUGAGCUAUUUGGUCUUGAUUAGCACUCGGGGACCCUCCCUUUUGGUCAAUGUGAAGUUCAUGGAACUUCAUAACGUGCCGUUGAUAUUCCGUGAUCUUUAGCAUUAUCCGGUUAUUA